GAAGCCAAACACAGGCAGCCUGGACAGUAGCAAGGAGAAGUUCAUCUACAGGCUGAGAAAGGGCAGCAUGGUGGUAGAAUGUGCCUUUGGUCAUUUAAAAGC